GCAGAGGUCGCCUGCUUUCCUAGCAGUUCCCACGAGCCAGACCCGGGCUGCCACGCAGGGGCAGGGGUCAGGCGUGGAGGCAGACUGUCCCGGUGCCCCCAGCCAGGCCGCUGGCGAGUCUGGCGCCGCCGCCGGGGAGCAGGGGCCCUGAGCUCUCUCCUCAGCGUCUGGACAGGCCGAGGAGGCAGACGAGGCACAAGUGACAGCUGGGAAGGUUUAAUUGCUCCUCAGUGGCUUGGGAGCACCUCCCUCCGUUGCCAGCGAUCUGCAUUUCAAUGUAGGAAGAGUGGAAAGUAGAGUAGGAUUGCCGCUCAAAGGGGUUACAAUGAUUAAUCAUUUAAAAAGCAAGAUCUUAAUUACAGGCCGCAAUUUUUGCUAUUUAAGGAGUCCAUUAGUUGCCAGAAAGAAGAAGAAAAAAAUUAUCACAGGUUAUUCUCCCAAAGUAGAGUGGAGGAGGGAGGGGCAGCGGGGGAGGGACUCAGCUGCUGCUUCGGAUGGGGGCGGGAAGGGGGGGGGACAGAGGUUCCACCCCUGCAAGAGGCCUAGCCCCAGACAGGCAGGCCCCGGGCUCUGUAGCAGAGACUGGGAAUGGUGGGCCAGGCAGAGGCUGGAAUUCCACCUGUUAAUGUCCUGAUCCUCGGGCGGGGCGGGCGACUAAAGGGUCAGAAGAUCCCGGUUCCUCGAGAUGCCACAUCCUCCACAGUGAGCACACCUCUGUCGUUGGCAGUAAGUCACGCCCCACUCAGGAGGUCCAGCCCUGCAUUCCACGUGACCUUUAUCCCAGAAGCCCCGGCAGGCAACAAAGGGGGCAUCCAGUACAGAAGCUGAUGUGGGGGUGUCGGGUCCCACCCCAGCCCCGAACUAAAACUUGCGGGGGACACUGAACAGUGCAACCGUUAACCUCCAUGACUGUAAAGUGUGAGCUGCGUGUCCCUAGGACAGCCUGGUUUGAAAACAAGUUUACCAGUCUACGGGAGGGAAGGGUUUGUUCACCCCAAGCCUGCUCAGACUGGGGAUAAAAGGCAUGGACUCACGCCCAUGAACAGCCAC
rnacentral:lncRNA from 1 species